rnacentral:rRNA from 1 species
CUACAUAUCAAUAAGCGGAGGAAAAGAAACCAACAGGGAUUGCCCUAGUAACGGCGAGUGAAGCGGCAACAGCUCAAAUUUGAAAUCUGGCUCUUUUAGGGUCCGAGUUGUAAUUUGCAGAGAGCGCUUUGGCGUUGGCAGCGGUCCAAGUUCUUUGGAACAGGACGUCACAGAGGGUGAGAAUCCCGUACGUGGUCGCUAGCCUUCGCCGUGUAAAGCCUCUUCGACGAGUCGAGUUGUUUGGGAAUGCAGCUCUAAAUGGGAGGUAAAUUUCUUCUAAAGCUAAAUACUGGCCAGAGACCGAUAGCGCACAAGUAGAGUGAUCGAAAGAUGAAAAGCACUUUGGAAAGAGAGUCAAAUAGCACGUGAAAUUGUUGAAAGGGAAGCGCUUGCAGCCAGACUUGCCUGUAGUUGCUUAUCCGGACUUUUGUCCGGUGCACUCUUCUGCGGGCAGGCCAGCAUCAGUUUAGGCGGUUGGAUAAAGGUCUCUAUCACGUACCUCCCUUCGGGGUUGGCCUUAUAGGGGAGACGACAUGCAGCCAGCCUGAACUGAGGUCCGCGCAUCUGCUAGGAUGCUGGCGUAAUGGCUGUAAGCGGCCCGUCUUGAAACACGGACCAAGGAGUCUAACAUCUAUGCGAGUGUUUGGGUGUCAAGCCCAGACGCGUAAUGAAAGUGAACGGAGGUGGGAACCUUUUAGGUGCACCAUCGACCGAUCCUGAUGUCUUCGGAUGGAUUUGAGUAAGAGCAUGGCUGUUGGGACCCGAAAGAUGGUGAACUAUGCUUGAAUAGGGUGAAGCCAGAGGAAACUCUGGUGGAGGCUCGCAGCGGUUCUGACGUGCAAAUCGAUCGUCAAAUUUGGGCAUAGGGGGCGAAAGACUAAUCGAACUAUCUAGUAGCUGGUUCCUGCCGAGU